GACGAACGCUGGCGGCGUGCUUAACACAUGCAAGUCGAACGGUAAGGCCCUUUCGGGGGUACACGAGUGGCGAACGGGUGAGUAACACGUGGGUGAUCUGCCCUGCACUUUGGGAUAAGCCUGGGAAACUGGGUCUAAUACCGGAUAGGACUACGCGAUGCAUGUCGUGUGGUGGAAAGCUUUUGCGGUGUGGGAUGGGCCCGCGGCCUAUCAGCUUGUUGGUGGGGUGAUGGCCUACCAAGGCGACGACGGGUAGCCGGCCUGAGAGGGUGUCCGGCCAAACUGGGCAAGGGGUAGGACCCAGAGGCCACCGGGAGGCAGGAGGGGGGAGUAGUGCGAAAUGUGCGCAAGGCGGAUGCAGCGACGCCGCGUGGGGGAUGACGGCCUUCGGGUGGUAAACCCCUUUCAGCAAAGACGGAGCGUAAGUGACGGUAUGUGCAGAAGAAGCAACGGCCAACUACGU
rnacentral:rRNA from 1 species